rfam:Virgibacillus necropolis strain LMG 19488 chromosome, complete genome.
CAUAGAGGAACUUCUACGAAGACCGUCCACGUCCUGUGGACAACGUAGAAGUCAGCACAUCCUGUGCA